rnacentral:lncRNA from 1 species
UUGUAAUUUUAAUAAUAUAUUUUAUUUAACUCAAUAUAUCCAAAAUAUUACCAUAUCAGUAUGUGAUCAAUAUAAAACAUUUUUUUUGUACCAAGUCUUUAACUCUGGUGGGUAUUUAUGCUUAAAAUAUAUCUCAAGUCACACGAGCCACAUGUGGCCAGUGGCUCCUGUACUGUACUGAAGAGCAGGGCAACACCUUUGCUACUCAAAGCCUUGGCAUCAUUUGGGAGCUUGAAAUGCAGAAUCUCAGGCCCCUUCCUCAACCCACCGAAGCGGAAUCUACAUUCAAAAUCCCAGAUGCACAUCAGAGUUUGAGAGAAAUGGGUCCAGUUCUGCCUAAAAUACUUCUGUGGCUUCCUACUGCCCUCAUGAUAAAUGUCCAGCUAUUGAGGUUGGCAAUCAUUCAUUCACUCCUUCAUUUACUCAUUCAUUCAGCGCAUGGUUACUGAGCACCUACUGAGUGCCAGGCCCUGUGCUGGGUGAUGUUGAGGACUCACCGACGGUACAGACAGACCUGAUUCUGACCCUGCUGGAACUCCCAGACAGUUAAUAAAUGAGUAGCCAAAUCACUGUUUCAUUUGGACUAUGUGAAACAUAAUAUGCUUAAUGUGAAUUUGCAGUGUACAAGGAGUGUCAGGGAAGGUCUGACCCGAUUUGAGUGGAAAGGGAUCCAGAAAAAUAACCCAAAUAAGGGAAGAGGCCACCACCAUGGCGAAAGGCCACAAGCAGAUUAAAUGUCCUAUUGCAGAGGACAGGAUUGCCAAGCAACUCCAGCCCAUUCAUGGUCAUUAAGAAGGAUCGUUUUCAGGCUUCAGAGAAAUGUGGAGAAACGCCUGGAGUAUAGGGUUACAGAAAAUGAGCCAGGGACAGAGCUGGUGCGGUGAUAUCACCCCAUGCACAGACUUGUCUGAAUUUGGAAAAUGAGGAGAAAGGAGGGGAUCAGAGAAUCAGGAAGAUGGGCAAUUUGUCAGUAGGGAAUGACUUGGGGCAAGAAAUUGCAGGUUAUCUUUUUUUAGGAAAAUUUAAAAAUCCCUUAACAAAACAUAUCUAGAUUUGCUUUAAAAAUAACUGAGGCCGGGCACGGUGGCUCACAACUGUAAUCCCAGCACUUUGGGAGGCUGAGGCAGGCGGAUCAUGAGGUCAGGAGUUCAAGACUAGUCUGGCCAACAUAGUGAAACUGUCUCUACUAAAAAUACAAAAAAAUUAGCCAGGUGUGGUGGUGUGCGCCUGUAAUCCCAGCUACUCAGGAGGCAGGAGAAUUGUGUGAACCUGGGAGGCGGAGGUUGCAGUGAGCAGAAAUCGUGCCAUUGCACUCCAGCCCGGGCAACAGUGUGAGACUCUGUCUAUAAAUAAAUAAAUAAAUAAAUAAAUAAAUAAAUAAAUCUGAGCAGCAGAAAAAGAUGUGCAAGGUAUGGAUUAAGCAACAGUGGCCAUAUGCUGGUAACUGCAGAAGCUAGUGAUGAGAACGUAGGAGUUCAUCAGCCUCUUCUCUAUGCUCUUAUGUAUGUUUGAAAUUUUCCCUUAAAAUAAGUUAAAAGUGUUUUACUUUUUCUUCUUCUUUUUAGAGAUAGAGUCUUGCUCUGUCACCCAGGCUGGAGUGCAGUGGCACGAUCACUGCCUAGUUCACUGCAGCUUCAACCUCCUGGGCUUAAGCGAUCCUCCUGCCUCAGCCUCCCAAGUAGCUGGGACAACAGGCUUGCACCACCAUGCCCAGCAAUUUUUUUAGUUAUUGUAGAGAAAGGGGUCUCACUAUGCUGCCCAGGCCAGUCUUAACUCCUGACCCCAAGCAAUCCUUCUGCCCUGACCUCCCAAAGUGCUGGGAUUCCAGGAAUGAGUCAUGGUGCCCAGCAUUUUAAAAAUGUUUUUCUUUACAAAUAAUUGGUGAUGUUGAAAGGUUUCUAGUCGCUGGAAAAGAAAGCAAUUUAAGCCCCUCUUCCAAAGGAAGAAACUGUAAGAUCAGAAAUAUGAGUUUCUCCUUUCAGAAUAGAGUCAAGGAGGAAGGUGGUUAAAGGCACACAUGAUAGAACUGAGACUCCUAGGUUCAAAUCCUGUUGCAGGCACUUACUAGCUAUGGAACCUGAAGUAACUGAUUUAAACUCUAAAUGCCUCACUGAAAACCUGGGAUAAUAACAGUAGCUACCUCCUAAGGGGUAUGUGAGGAUUACUGGAUGUAUGCAAGCUGGGGGUUUAGAAGAGUGCCUGGCAUGAAGAAGGCACCAUACAAAUGUGGGCAGUUACUGUGAAAGCCUAUGCUAGCCAGGCUUAGAACUGCAAAAUGUCCCAAAGCACAUCCGCUAAUAGUCUCUCUUUCUUUUUUUUUUUUUUUUUUUUUUGUAGAGACAGAGUCUUGCUGUCACCCAGGCUGGAGUGCUGGAGUGCAGUGGUGCGAUCUCGGCUCACUACAACCUUGACCUCCCGAGUUCAAGCAAUUCUCCUGCCUCAGCCUCCUGAGUAGCUGGGACUACAGGUGCACGCCACCAUGCCCGGCUAAUUUCUUUUGUAUUUUAGUAGAGACGGGGUUUCACCAUGUUGCCCAGGCUGGUCUCAAACUCCUGAGCUCAAGCAAUCCGCCUGCCUCGGCCUCCCAAAGUGCUAGGAUUACAGGCAUGAGCCACCGUUCCCAGCCCACUAAUAGUCUCUUUACUGAACUCACUGUGCCAACAGCCACUGAUAUCAGAGUGGAAGAAUUCUCCCAAUGCCAGUAUUAAUAAUCUAGUUAACUUCCCUCUUGCACAUACAAAAUCCUUUUAUACAAUUCAGUUGUUCUAAAUGCUUGUGAGACAUUUUUUAGAUACCUUGUAAGUCAUGUUUAUAAGGAUAAUUGUGAUAAUUAAUAUAGAAGAUUCUCUUAAUCAAUGUGACUCAAAAGGAAGCUUACAAGUGAUCCUUAAAAUUUCACUCUGGUGUGACAACCCUAGUGUAAAGAGAAAUGAGCCUCAGUUUUCUUCCUACUGCUGUAGAUUUUUUAAAGUAAUAAAGUGAUUCCUGAAAGUUGUUUUCAUCUUAAGCUGACACAUAAUGUGAUUUAUUUUCCUGUUUACUUUUCCCCCUACAACAGGUUUAAUUGCGUUAAAUGGUGAGAUGGGAGGCCAAGAGCCCAGGGAGGAGGACAGGCAGAGACAAGGUGGGAGAGGACCGGGUUGGACCAAGGCAGAGUGGAAAAUGGGAGAAGGGAGAAGAUGUGAGAGAUGUCCAGCAGUCCCAGAGGACAAGCCCUGGAAGCUGAUGGGCUGGACGGGGGGCAGGGAUGGGAGGGAGGCAUUCAGAAUGAGGCCCAUGGCUCCCUCUGAGAACCUGGAGCCUGGAGGGGCCACCCCUGAGACAAAGGCUGAGAGAGCAUGUUUGGAAUCUGGGACAUGGUGAGUGUUAAGGGCCCAAGGAUUGCCCAGUUGGGAUUGGGGGAUUGUCCAUGAGGCCUCCGGAUCCUCCAGGUCUAGGGCUCAGAGUAGAGGUCAGGGCUAAGGACAGAGUGUGUCAUCUGCACAGAGAUAGGAAACAGACCAUGAAAGAGGGUAAGGUGGCCCCAAGGUGAGAAGAGAGAACAUAGCCCCACCACAUUUAACAGACUGGUGAAAACAGAGGAGCCCGCAAGGAAGCAAAACGUAGAGGAAAUGUCAGGGGAUAGCAGACUCACAGAAACUAAGGGGAGGGUGUGCUCACAGAAGGCAGGCAGGGUCACCACAGCCGAUUUUUGCCAAGAUGACCAAUAAGAUGAGCACCAAAAAGAGCCCACUGAGCCAGGCUUCUCACUGGCAGAGGAAGGAGUUAUAAAGAAAGCAAGGGGGGGAUGGUGAGAAUGAACCCUCUGGUACUAGACUAGUGUCAGAGUAUCAGUAUGAACUCAUGCUUAUUUUUACACACCAUUCUCCAAUGAAAAGAACCAGUGACUCUAGAGGAAGAGCUAAUUCUAGGGCUGGUGCAGGGAGAAUACAUGAGCCUGGAAUAUCUUGCAGUGCCAGAAAGUAAGAAGGUGUUGGAGAAAAAAAAAAGAGUAAAGAACACAGGAGCCAACCUGAAAGAUAAACGCUGAUGGCCAAGGCUAAAACAACUUGAGCAAAAAAAAAAUUGAUUACAAUAAUGUUGGGGUAUGCCCAACUAAUAAAUAUUCAUGAGUCCACACGGAAAUAAACUAAUGAUUGUAUAAAUAAAAUAAGUGAAGUAUGAUAGAAGGGACAAAUCUUCCAUAUGGAAUUCUAAAUAGUAAAUGUAAAGAAAUGAGGGAAACAGAAAGUCAUCAUUAUAAUAUCACGGUAAUAACUGCUACAGACCGGGUCCACUGAUGAAUGCUAAAAUGUGUGGGUAAACUUGAAGGAGAAAUGGGAUAUUUGUGCAGCCUCCAAGUAUCUCCCUAUUUCCCUCCAGGAAUCAGGCUUAGCUCUCCUCUGAGUGUGGGCUGGAUUUAGUGACUUGCUUCUAACAAAUGAGUAAAGGGAAAAUAGUGGUAUUAUCGUUGGGAAAUCUGCAGACACCACUUUCAUGAAGUGAUCAGGUUAACCUCACCUCAGUGAGCAUUCUUCCCAAAGCCUAAAAUCCCAGUCUAACCACGAGCAAAAUGUCAGACAACCUCAGACUGAGGGCCAUUCUACAAAAACAUCUCACCAGUACUCCUCAGAACUGUCAAGGUCAUGAAAAACAAGGAAGGACUGAGAAAUUGUCACAGAUUGGAGGAGGCCAACGAGAAAUGACCAACAAAUGCAACAUGGUAUCCUGGAUUGGAUCCUGGAACAGAAAAAGGACAUUAAUGGAAAAACAGGAGAAAUAGGAUUCAAGUCUGGAGUUUAACAGAAUAUUAAUCCAUGUUAAUUUCUCAGUUUUGACAAAUAUACAAUAAUUAUGUAAGAUGCUAACACUAGGUGGAAGUUGGGUGUAGGUAUAGGGAAGUCCCUGUAUCAUCUUUGCAACUUGUCUGUAAAUCUAAAAUUAUUAAAUUUUAAAACGUUCACAAAACUUUAAGUCUCCUCUGCAAUAUGGCUCGAGGUGGUCCCCCGCGGAGUUCCAAAGCACGCUUUGUUUGACUCAUCCUUCAGAUCUCAUCUUACAUGCUCCCCACGCCAGGAAGUCCCACCUGACACCACAGACUGGGUCAGGAGCUGCCUCUGGCUCCCACAGUCCCCCUGUGGCUCCCCUAUCCUGGCCCCAACCCCUCUGCCUCCCCAUCCCAGCCCUGGUCACUGUCUGCCGUUGGGGUUGUCUUCCCCACUGGACUGUGAGCUUUGCGAGGGCAAGGUGGAGGCUGUCUCAGCCAUUGCUGUGUCUCAGCCAUUGCUGUGUCUCUCUUGAGUUGAGAGUAAUGCGUGUCUCCCUGACUCCUCUGGGAAUACCCAUGAACAGGCAGAAGCUGCGCCUGAAUCCUCCCAACUGACCCUUAACGCUUCACAGCCCAAGGCCUGCCAGAUCCACCUUCCUGGUAUCCCCUUUCCUGUUUGCUCAAUCCAGGACACAUCUGAGGCAAUAUAAAUGGUCUGUCUCACCCAUCAGCCAAAAGAGGGUCAAAUCAUCUCCAACCCCUGCCACACCUGCCCACCCACAUGUCCGCCCUGUACACCAAGUGUCAGAAACACAUGGUGACUGUGAAUGUUUGGGGGGCCUGCCCAGUCCACAGCCCUUCUGAGCAGACAGUCAUCACUAUAGGAACCCUCCAGCUCCAGUGAGUUGAGCAGGGUUGGAUACCCGACCCUGGAAAUCCCAUUCCUAUCUGGGAAAUUCGGAAUGAAGACUGAGGGGCUGCGGGUAACUGAGCUGGAAGAUCACAUAGAGUGGGGGCAAGAGUCCACCCAGGACCAACCCAGCUGCCUGAGAACAGGAAGCAGCCAAUGCAAAGAGAAGCAGAGACCACAGGGCCCAGUGGAAAGGAGGAAUGUCACACCACUGUCUCACUUCUGCUUCUAUUCUGUUCUCAUGAAGCCCUUGUCAGGUUCUUUCCAUCACUACCCACAACCAAUCACAGUGAGUUCUGCCUUCAAAAUGCACCCAGACUCCAAUGACUACUCAUUCUGCCCCUGCCCUGGUACAGGCCACUGUCAUCUCACCUAGAUUAUUGCAGCAACCUCCUCACGGGCCUCCCUGCUCUCAUUCUCAGCCCACACUUCCAUCUAUACACCCUCCCUUAGUGAUCCCAUCCUGGGCUUUAAUACCAUAAAUAUGCCAACUACUCCCAGCCCAGAUCUCACCCUUCAAUGCCAGUCUUGUAUAAGCUCCUGUUUGGCCAGUGGGUCCAGUCAGAGGCUAAACACGCCCACACUCUCUCUCAGUCUUGUCCAUACAGUUAAUGGCACUCCCUCCUUCCUCUGUGCAGACUAAACGCCAUAGUGUGGUCCUUGACUCUUCUUUCUUACCCUACAUACCUGAUUCUCCCUUCAAAUUAUAUGCAAAAUCUGACCACAUCUCCCCACCGCCCCGUUAGCACCCUGGCCAAGCCACUAUCAUCUCAGCUGGACUGCACAGUGGCCUCCUCACUGGCAUCCUGCUUCCACCCUAGUAGCCACAUGGGAGCCAGAGGAACCCUCUUACCGUGGUAGAUCACAUCGCCUCAGCUCACCAUGCUCUCCCUGCCACACAUCUCAUCAGCUUCAAAUUCAAGUCCUUCCCAUGGCCUCCCGGUCCCACCUGACCUUGCCUUGGUCUCCUUCCCUCCCACUGUGUCCAGUCAGGUCCAGUUCACUCCUUUCUGCUCCUCCAGCACACCAAGCAUGCCUCGGGGCCUUUGAAUUUGCUGGUUUUUUCUACCUGGAAUGUCCUUCUUCCCAGAAUAUACAUACAGCCAGCUGGUGUCCUCCCUUUCUGUGAGGUCCAUUAACGUUUUUCUCAAAGAGGUCUUCUUUAACCCCUCUAUCUAAAAUAGCACCUCUUCCCACUCUCUAGUCUUCCAACCCUCAACUUCUACAGCUCUGUUCACUAAUAUUAGCAUUCAUCUUGCCCACUGGAAUGCAGGCUCCAGGAGGACAGGGCUUUCGGGGGUCUUGUUUGCUACUAUUAAUAAUACCAGCACCUAAAAAUGCUUGGCAUGUAGUAAAUAGCCAGAUCUGAUGACUCAACAAAUAAGAAAACCCUGGAAUCAGUUAGGAUAUUGUUGAUUCUAAGUAAUAGAAAACUCAAUUCAACAAUAUAGUUGGCUUAAACGAUAGAGAUAUGUUGAAUUCCCUAAUGAGAAAGUCUAGAGGUAACUCACUCCAAGUGAGGCCUGAUCCAGCACUUCAACAACAUCACCAAAGACUCGAUGUCUUUCCAUCUCUCUACUAGUCCUUCCAAGAAAAUGGCUAAAAUCACAUCACUAAGAAGUGGGUUGGCUGGACGCAGUGGCUCACGCCUGUAAUCUCAGCACUUUGGGAGGCCAAGGUUGGUGGAUCACUUGAGCCCAGGAGUUCGAGAGCACUCUAGGAAACAUGGUGAAACCCCAUCUCUACAAAAAAUACAAAAAUUAGCCAGGUGUGGUGGUGCAUGCUUGUGGUCCCAAGUACUCAGGAGACUGAGGCAGGAGGAUCACCUGAGCCCAAGAGGUCUAGGCUGCAGUGACUCCAGCCAGGGUGACAGAGUCAGGCCCUGUUUAAAAACAAAAAAAAAGAAGAAGAAGAAGAAGAAAAAGAAGUGGAAGUGGGUUACUAAUGUGUUUAUUCAUCUGACCGCCACUUCUUCAACAAUUGUGAAAAUUGUAAUGCUGAUGAACAUGAUGCUGAUAAUAAUAGCUAUCACAUAUUCAGUGCUUUGUGCCAGGCGCUUUACUAGUACUUUAUUAGCUUCUGUGUGCCUUCAUUUCCUCGUUUGUAAAAUGGGAACAGUAGUAGUACCACAUACGGUGACUGAGGAUUAAAUGAGCUAAUACAUAAAAUGGUAAGAUCUUAAAAAAAUAUUAGCUUGUUUCAGUUAGCUAUUGCUGUGUAACAAAGCAUCCUAAGCCACAGGGGCAUAAAAUAGCAACCAUUUCUUUGCUCAUGAUUCUGCAAUUUGGACAAGGCUCAAAGGGUCAGGGGAUUUGAGAUGGUUCAUUCCUACUCCACAUGGUGUCAACUGGAAUGGGAGUUAGGCCAUCCCAAGAUGGCAUCACUUGCACGCCUGCACAUCAGCUAAAAGUUGGAACAGCCGCGGGCUGGGGCAGAUCUAUAGAAAGGGCAGGGCUCCAAGAGUAGAAGCAGAAUCUGCCAGGUCUCUUAAAGCCUAGGCCUCCAUUUAGUACAGCAUCAUCUUCAUUGUAUUUUUUUUUUUUUUUUUUUGAGAAAGAGUCUCACUCUGUCACCCAGGCUGGAGUGCAGUGGUAUGAUCUUGGUUCACUGCAACCUCCACCUCCCGGGUUCAAGUGAUUCUCCUGCCUCAGCCUCCAGAGUAGGUGGGACUACAGGAGUGCACCACACCUGGCUAUUUUUUUUUUUUUUUUUGUAUUUUUAGUAGAGAUAGGGUUUCUCCAUGUUGGUCAGGCUGGUCUCGAACUCCUUUCCUCAAGUGAUUCACCUGCCUCAGCCUCCCAAAGUGCUGGGAUUACAGGCAUGAGCCACCGCACCCAGCCUGCUUUCAUUGUAUUCUAUUGGUCAAAACAAAUCUCAGGGCCAGCUCAGAUAUAAGGAGAAGGAAGGAGACUCCACCUCUUGAUAGGAAAAACAGCAAAGAAUGUGUGGCUGUCUUCAAUCACAGCUAUUUUAAUUCCACAGUAACAGCCUUGUCACUGGUCUCCCUACUUUAAUCCUUAAUGCCUUAUAGUCAAUUCCCCACACAGAAGCCAGAGGAGUCUUUUAAAGUACACUUUAGUGUGAAGAAUUUUAGAAGGAAACACACACACACACAUACACACACACACAAACACCUGACCACGCUCCUGUCCCCAGCUUAAAAUUCUACAACUUCCCACUACAUGUGGGGUAAACACCCAAACUCCUUAUGGCAUACACAAGGUCUGACCUCUUGCUCUGCAUCAGCCUCUAGGCUCCAACCAUCCCAAACUCUUAUCUCUUAAAGGAGUUAAUGCCUACUCCUUCAUCACCUCAAACCUCAUUUCCUAGGAUCCGGAUUUGAUUUCCUAUCAAGUAUUCUUAUAACACUCUCUACCUUUCUUGGUAAUUUCACACGUGUGAUUAUUUGAUAGUCUAAAUUACUGUCCCUAUUACUGUAGGUUCUAUAGGGGUAGGGGAAUAUUUUGUUCUCUUCUGUGUUCCCAAUGCUGAGGAGAAAGAAGAGGCAAGGUGAAAUACUUGUUGAAUAUCUUGAGCCCUCAGAAAACUUUAAGGCAGCUCCUUGGAGUUCUGUAGAAAGGGGAUCGGCAGAGUCCCCGCCAUGCUGGGAUCCAGAUAUGUGCUCUUCAAUAGUUUAUUUGAUAAGUAGUUACUGAGCCCUAACUGUGUGCCAAGCACUUUUCUAUGUGUUGGAGAUAACGGAGGAAGUAGACAAAAGCCCCUUCCCUGAUGAAGUCAACAGUCUCCUAGAGGUAAGGGUCAGGGGAGACAGACCAUAAACACAGAUAAAUUCUACAGAGUGUUAAACAGUAAUAUGAUUAAUGCUAAGGAUAAAGUUAAAGAAGCAAAGAUAGAUGUGACUAUAAGUCACAAAUUUAGAAGGGUGGUGAGGGAAGAUCUCAGGAAGGCAGUGACAUCUCAGGAGAGACCUAAAGAGGAAGGAACAAGUCUGGGCUAUUUGAUAGAUGAGUUCUUUAGGCAAAGAAAAGAGCAAGCACAAAGGCCCUCGGGCCAGUGUGGCUGGAGCACAGGGAGUAAGAAGAGUAGAUGAUGUCAGAGAGGUGAUGAGGGCAGACAAUGCAGGGCCUUGCAGAGGACUCUGGGUUUUACCCCGAGCAAGAUGUAGCCUUGGAAGUGUUCUGAGCGGGGGAGGGAUAUGACCUGAUACAGGUGCUCACAGCAUCCCUCCAGCUGCAUGUAAGGAACACUCUGGGGGCAGGGGUGAGAGCAGAGAGAUCACUGAGGAGCCUGCCAUAAUGGUCUGUGAAGGAGAUAAGGGUGGACAGGAGUGAAGGUGGGGAGAAGUGGUCAGGUAUAUUAGCUGACAGACAUGAAUAUAAGACAGAAAGAGGAGUAAAGGACAAUUCCAGUGGUUUGGGCCUGGAGAGGAUGGGGGGAGCAUUUACUGAGAUGAACAUGCAGGGAAAAAAUUUUGGGGAAAGGAGCAGGAGCUCAAUUUGAUCAAAAUUACUCUGGAGAUACCUCUAGAUUACCAACAGGUUAUGAGGAAGGCAGCCAGUCAGGAGCUCAGGGGAGAGAUUCUGGGAUGGACAUAGAAAUGUGACACAUAAUGGGAGGCCGAGGCAGGCAGAUCACAAGGUCAAGAGAUCAAGACCAUCCUGGCCAACAUGGUGAAAUCCAGUCUCCACUAAAAAUACAAAAAUUAGCUGGGCAUGGUGGCGUGUGCCUGUAGUCCCAGCUACUCGGGAGGCUGAGGCAGGAGAAUUGCUUGAACCCGGGAGGCGGAGGUUGCAGUGAGCCGAGAUCACGCCACUGCACUACAGCCUGGAGACAGAGUGAGACUCCGUCUAAAAAAAAAAAAAAAAAAAAAAAGUGACAUAUACAUUUCCAUGCCUCUCCCAAAUUCCUCACAAGACCUACGUGAUCUGGCCCUGCUGAUGUCUCCUUGGUAAGUUAAUGGUACGCGCGCACACACACACACACACACACACACACACACACACACACAUCCUGGGCCCUCCCCUUCCUAGGUAUUGAUAAUGGUCAAGUUACCUAAACUUUUCUGUCCUAGGUAUCAUUUACAAAUGGGAGAUCACAUCAGCACCUGCCUCCUAGGAUUGUUCAUUCAAGACAUUAGCCACUGAGCAUCUGCUCUACGCGCUGGAGAUAUCCCUUCUCCACUCCUCUCCGCCUCCCCCUCCCACACAGCCUGUCAACCUUCUGGACGUCUCUCCCAUCCCCUCUUGCCCUCCCUACGGUGGCCCCUGCCCUGAUCCAUUCCCAACACCUCUUGCCUAGGAAUCUGUCACAUCUGCCACCCUGGGUUUCCUGACCCCAGUCACUUUCCCGUUAAUCUAUUCUCAUGUCACAGCAAACUGGGCCGUACCCCUUCCCUACUAAAAAUCCUCCCAUGGCUCUUCAUUGCUCUCAGGACAAAAUCCAAGGUCCCUAAAUGAUCAAGAAAAUCUUCCACAUCUCAUUCAUACAGAAUUUUCAGUAUGAUCACCAACACCAGAUCGCCUGCAGUCCAUGUUCACACAACAGGCUGUUUCUCUCUGCCUUUGCGCAAACCAUUCCACCACACCGCCCCCGACCCCCAAAACAUCCUUCCGUCUUCAGGUCUCAGCUCAGACAGCUCCUAGUCUUCCGGGAUGAUCUUCCUACCAAGGUCUCCUCGGGUUCCCACCGCGUUCCAUGCCGCCUCCAUUAGUGAACAUACAUAGGUCCGCAACGGGGUCUUGCCUGUCUCUCCCACUGAGCGGGGCUUCCCGCAAGCCGGGCCAGGCACAGCGGCCAGUGAUGUCCGCGUGCUGGGGCCUCUUCAGGCCUCGGCGUCUACUGCCCGCUCUGGAACUGUGAGCGACAACCGGCACUCUCUCCCGGGACGGCGCCGCACCCACCUUCUGCACACCUCGGAGACCUCAACACCUGCGCCAAAGCCACCCAGUCACAGCCUUCUCUCCCUCUCCUAAACACCAUGAACAUCCAGGCCCCGGGACCUCAGACUGCUCAUUGGCUGCCUGAAAACCCGCCCCCAAGCCUGAGAGAAAAGAACUCUGGUUGCUGUAGUUCCCCAACGAACACCGCAGAAAGCGAUUGCUAAGUAGAACUUCAUUUCCCACAAAGCGCCGAGCCCCAGUGGUGGCAGACGGUACCCUUUGAACUGGGCUCUUGAUUGGCCGGUUGGGAGACGUACAUUUCCAAAUUACCGUGGAAACAGGACCACUUACCUGGAACCCCGGGAAAAUCUUUUUGUCUCAGAAUCUCAAAACUCUUUGUUUCGCGAUGAUUCCAAAGAGCUGGACAGUACACGUGGGGACAGAGUCUGUACCUAUUGUCUGCCUGUUCCCCAGAUGGCACCAACAAAGCCUCCUAAGUGUACUCAGCUGCUACUGGACGCCUGCUUGGCAUGAGGAGCCACUCUUGUGCUAAGUCUGCGGACGCCCCGGCUUAUUAGGGCACCUGUUUCCCAGAGACAGGCCAGAGCUGAACCUUUACCCUUUCAGGGUCUAUUUACCCAGGAAAAGGCAAAUGUAGGCCAGGAUCCUGUCCACGAUCUAUCUAGAAUGCUGAUGCCCCAGACCUGCAGACUCAUGCCUGCAACACGCGCCACAGCUUCCCCACGAGACGUCUCCACACCAGAGCUCCUCCAGCACCCCCUCCGCAAACCCCCUUCCCCACCAUGCCUCUGAGGGUCGGGUGAGGGGAG